UACAGGGGGAGCAAGCGUUAUCCGGAAUGAUUGGGCGUAAAGCAUUCGUAGGUGGUAGGUGAAGUCUACUGUCAAAUACCAGGGCUCAACCUUGGACAGGCAGUGGAGUACUCAUUUACUAGAGCGUGGUAGAGGUAGAGGGAAUUCCCCGUGGAGCGGUGAAAUGCGUAGAGAUGGGGAAGAACACCGGUGACGAAGGCGCUCUACUGGGCCAAGGCUGACACUGAGGGAUGAAAGCUGGGGGAGCAAAUAGG
rnacentral:rRNA from 1 species